rnacentral:tRNA from 1 species
UGGUGUAAUGGUCAGCACACUGAACCGGUAUUUCAGAGGUCCGUGGUUCGAUCCCCGG